rnacentral:lncRNA from 1 species
UCGGCAACCGUUAAUAUCAGCCAUUGGCAUAGCUCAAGCAUUAUCCCUAGACUUGAUCAUACCCUGUUGUUUUAUCAUCGGCAUUUUCAGCCAGUCAUCCCUUUUUCGCCUGCCAAUCCAAGCUCUAUUAAAUUUCCAGAUACGUGUCAAAAAACGGUGUCAACAAUAUCACUCAUUUAUUUUUUUUUUAAUCUUUAUUUUAACCACAACAUAUUUUUUUAAAGGGACAAUUGGCUGUAGGACAUGUAGAAUGGUGGCCAUUUGCCAGCGGACACUAGGAAAAAAUAGAUUGCUCAAAGACACUCUGUUUCUUAUCAAAUUUGCUGGCGGACACUACGUCUAAUCAAAUAUUAUUAUAAAAUAGAUAUAAAAUAAUAUAAGUGCGAAAAAAUUAUAGUAUAAAUUUUUUUACACUCUACAUGAUGAUAACUGUAGUGCAAAAAUAUUGUUUUGCACUAAAAUGACGAUUUUGCCCCUC